AGUGAACGCUGGCGGUAGGCCUAACACAUGCAAGUCGAACGGCAGCACAGUAAGAGCUUGCUCUUACGGGUGGCGAGUGGCGGACGGGUGAGGAAUACAUCGGAAUCUACUUUUUCGUGGGGGAUAACGUAGGGAAACUUACGCUAAUACCGCAUACAACCUACGGGUGAAAGCAUGGGAUCUUCGGACCUUGCGCGAUUGAGUGAGCCGAUGUCGGAUUAGCUAGUUGGCGGGGUAAAGGCCCACCAAGGCGGCGAUCCGUAGCUGGUCUGAGAGGAUGAUCAGCCACACUGGAACUGAGACACGGUCCAGACUCCUACGGGAGGCAGCAGUGGGGAAUAUUGGACAAUGGGCGCAAGCCUGAUCCAGCCCUACCGCGUGGGUGAAGAAGGCCUUCGGGUUGUAAAGCCCUUUUGUUGGGAAAGAAAAGCAGCAGGUUAAUACCCCGCUGUUCUGACGGUACCCAAAGAAUAAGCACCGGCUAACUUCGUG
rnacentral:rRNA from 1 species